rnacentral:rRNA from 1 species
AUUGAACGCUGGCGGCAGGCCUAACACAUGCAAGUCGGACGGUAGCACAGAGAGCUUGCUCUCGGGUGACGAGUGGCGGACGGGUGAGUAAUGUCUGGGGAUCUGCCCGAUAGAGGGGGAUAACCACUGGAAACGGUGGCUAAUACCGCAUAACGUCGCAAGACCAAAGAGGGGGACCUUCGGGCCUCUCACUAUCGGAUGAACCCAGAUGGGAUUAGCUAGUAGGCGGGGUAACGGCCCACCUAGGCGACGAUCCCUAGCGGGUCUGAGAGGAUGACCAGCCACACUGGAACUGAGACACGGUCCAGACUCCUACGGGAGGCAGCAGUGGGGAAUAUUGCACAAUGGGCGCAAGCCUGAUGCAGCCAUGCCGCGUGUAUGAAGAAGGCCUUCGGGUUGUAAAGUACUCUCAGCGGGGAGGAAGGCGAUGUGGUUAAUAACCGCAUUGAUUGACGUUACCCGCAGAAGAAGCACCGGCUAACUCCGUGCCAGCAGCCGCCGUAA